AUCCCCAGCCCUACCCGGGGAUCAGAAGCACGGUGCUCGCGGCCCAUGCUGGGCGGGCGGGGCUGGGGUCGCCGAGGGGCGUGCCCGCGGGCUUUCGCCAGCACAGCCGCCAUCCGAAGUCGCUGUCUCCGCCUGGGGUCGUCUGAGCACUGCGGCUUAGAAGGCUGCUCUGCACAACGUGGGGAAGGGGCAGAGGCCGCUGCGCCGCGGCUCCCCGCAUCGCAGUCGGUCUCCCCUCCCCCCCAUUGAAGCUCCGUCGAGUCCGAGCCCGCGGGCAGGAGGCAGAGGCCAGCUGGGGAAACCGAGGCACAGACUGUACCAAGGCGCACCAGGUGUUAGCACACUACGAAGAAGCCAAGUGAAAGCCUAUGAGGAGCGACCCGUCCGAGGCCAGGAUUUUCCCCAGGGCCUGGGUCCUGGGGAUCGGGGUUAGAAGAAAGGGUCCUGGGAUUCCGGAAGGCCUGAGCGCCCGCUGCCCCGACAGCUUCGCGGGGUGGAUCAGCUGGAUCACCGCGAGGGUCCCCGGUCUCACGAAAUUAAUCGAGGAGUAAAGAUUACAUUUAACCUCUGCAGACAGCAAGACAGGGACCACUCUCCCUCCCAGCCUGGCGCCAGCUUGAACCCGAGGGCAUGUCAACAGGAGCCAGGAACUGGAGGCGAAGCAUCUUUCAUUUCCUCUGCGGCGGUGGAACAAGUGAGGGACCUGGCAGCAUCUAGCGGCGUGAUCCAGAGCCUGGUGGAGAGCUGGGAAGCUUGCAGCUCCUCUAAUUCUUACUGCUAUAAACCAAAGAGCCCUGGCCCUGCAUGAUCCCUGUGCCAUCGAGCAGACAGCAUCUCCCUGAGGUGAUUGGAUCAACUGCUUCGUGUCAGUGUCACCCAUGCUUGCUUCGGAGUUUCAAGGCCUUGAUCCUGGGAAAGGGAGUCGAGAAGGUGAUGAGGAGUCCAACCGCUCAUACCUGGACUCUGGGCCCAUCCCAUGCUACCUUGUGCAUCUCCUUUGCCAAGAUGCCCCUCUGCUGCCUGCCCAGGACACAAGUGGGUUACAGACUGACUUCAAGGUGGGUCCAGGUCAGGCCUCAGGCUCCAACCCUUCCCUGCCACAUCCACAGGGCUGAGGCUCUGGGCCUGGGACUCAGGACCUACAGUUUCCUUUUUGACUCUGUCCCGGGGAUGCACAUGUGGAUUAAAUUAGAGCAAUAUGUUUUUCUAACAGCAUCUUGGCUAAAAACCCAAGCAGAUAAAUGGAAACAAACCCAGCUUUAUGUGAAUGAAAAGGGGCUGAGGGGGGAGCCACUUCUGCCUGAAGCAUCGCAGCCACACAGCCGGCAGGGCUGCCCCCCCGCCCCCCUCCUCCCCCGGCCCCCGUCCAGCCUUGACCCCGGAAGCCCUCACCACAGGGCACCUUCUGCCGCCCAGCCCCCUCACCAGGCCCCUGCUCUGGCUGAACCGGCUUCCUGGCUUCCUGGCCCUCUCCAAACCCGCUCUGUGCCUCCACAGCCCUUGGUGGUGGGUGUGCCCUCUGUGCAGGAUCCUCUCUCAAGUCCGCCUGGCGCUGUGGUGAAGGGUACACAUUCCAGAGUCACGUGGGCAGGUGGCUUACCUGGCUUAUGGUCAGUUUCCUCACCUGUGAGUGGGGAUGUUCACCCCCCCCCCUGCAACCCCACAGAGCUCAGGGAAGACUGAGGAAAUGAUGCUCUUAGCACGGCACCUGGGACGCAGCUAACAUUUGCUGUGUGUCAUUGUCAUUAUCAUCAUCUUAUUAUUGUUAUUCUUCUUAUUGCUACCACCUCUCCAAUUCACCUGGCCUCUGUCUUUGCCCCACUGAUCACCUCCUUUAGAGGGGUCCUUUCCUCCCUACAGAAUUCCUUCUGCACCUCCCACUGAUGGUUUCUAGAAGGCAGGGGGCCCUCAGGGCAGGGGCCUCGUCAGGGUAGCAGCAGAGGUGAAGAGGGCGGGUAUUUGGGUAACAUUUGUUGGUAGAUGGGUUUGUGAUCAUGGGCUUUGUUGUUGGUUUUAAUGAGAGGGCAGAGUUGGCCAAACUCUCCCACAAAGUCUGCCUGUAGCCAUCACUCCUAGGCCUGCUUACAGGUCUUUCCUGGGGAGCUGGUCCCAGGGGCUCCCUGGGGAAACAGGUGGUAACUUCGCACUACCUCAGGGACGGAUUAGUCCCUGGAUGAUGCAUGAGUCCAGGAGUAGUGUUUCUUAUUAUUUGAAGCCACUCUGUUUUGCAGAUGCUUUCAGGGCCUUUCACUGAAGGAGCCCCUCUGAGCAUGAGAGCAUUGCUAAAAUCCUUGCUCCUCCACGGCCUUCUCCCCCACCCCCACUGGCUGCUUCCCCACCAGAAAGCCCCACUCACUUGGCAUCCCCCAACUGAGGUCUUUAAGAGGGAAGGGAAGGGGACACACCUGGUCCCAAUGCUGAGGCACUUAGAUGAGUUCCAGGUGAGGCAAGGGUUCGGUAACUCUCAAGUGCCUGAUGUUACCUACAAAAGCCAACCCCUCCUCUCCUCCUGGCCCAGCGCUCUGCCUCUGCACUUCUCUUGCGGACACGCCAUGCUCUCCUGGAAGGCAGAGGCUGCAUCCAACUCCCCAUUAUCAUCCUCCCAAGACCUAGAACACGGUAGGUGCUGCGUACAUAGAUGCUGUGAAUGAAUGAGAAGGAGACAGAGAGUGUGAAGUAAUAGGAAAUUCACACUGGUGUCUGCCUUUGGUUCCUGGUGGGGGCUCCUGAAAAAUCCUGGUCAUUUCCUGGAUAAUAAGAGGGCCUUUUGUGUGGAGUUUCUUGGUGGCUCAGUGGGUUGGGGAUCCAGCAUGCGUGGUCGCUGCUCUGGCUCAGGUUCGAUCCCUAGCUGGGGAAAUUCUGUGUGCCACGGGUAUAGCCGGAAAAAAAAAAAAAAAAAGUGUCUUGUUGGAA
rnacentral:lncRNA from 1 species